ACCUUGCGACAGUUCGCUAAAAAAAACUUGGAAGAGCAGGUAAUUGAAAAAUAUCCCUAUUGCGUACCGUGUAACAUUUUUGAGGAAAUGUCAAAGCCUUGUUGACUAAAAGUCAAAACGAAAAGAAACGAUACACGGGUGCAUUCGAACAGAUUCGAGAAAAGACAGGAAGGUAAUAAAGAUGAGAGAAUUUAAGAAUAUUCUUUGUAUGAAAAAGAAAAGGGAAAAAACAUGCAGAUCAUGGAAGAGAGCUUAGAAGCUGGUAGGGACAGGAUGUAUAUAGGGAGAGAAACCAUGCUCGGAGAGAGACGAGAUCAAGGAGCCUGGCGUCCCUCUUCGAGUGUCUGAAUUUCAAAUUGUUGCUGAUCGCGACGCGACGGUGUGAGCUCGAGAUUUUCUUUCCCAUAUUCUACGGGAAUUAUACAUAGAAAUAUUUCGCUAGCUGCAGUCCGCAGCCCCAGCUAGCUAUACAUAUACCCAAAGAAGUGAAGAAAGACCAUUAAUUGCUUUCAGGGUGAAAAAAAAAGGUCAAACCCGUCCCCAGCCCAGGUCUUAUACGAAUAUACAGAUAUAUAGAUUUUCCCGCCAUCUUUAUAAUACAAAAUCACCACUGCACCAAGUUAACGAGUUCACGGGGGAGUGCGCGAAAAAGGGAAAACUUAUAAAUGAAAAAAAUGGCGCAAUACCAGCAGCAGUAACGCGGCAGCCAGCAGCAGUUCAAGCGUAUUACAUAAUUAACGAGACGUUAAUUAAUAUACGUGCAGGUACCAAUGAAUGAUAUCGAUCAGACGCGAUAUUAUUAUACUGAAAUACCUCGUUUCCAUUAUAAUCACACAGUUAUCCGAAUCACGUUAUGAAAUAAUCAUUCAACAUUCGUAUAACAAUAUUAAUGAAAAUAGUAAUGAUACAUCAACACCGAACAUCGAUACGAAUAAAGAAAUAACGUCCAUACUUUUUCUCUCAUCCCCGAUAUCGAUUUUUCUGAUUGUGAAAUAUUCACGUGGACUAUACGUAUACAGUACAGGUAUAACAUGUUAGUACUAUGAAAUUUGUCUUUCGUACGGUCGUUUGAUUCGUCGUCGAAGUAUGGGAAAUGAGAGAUUGAUGUAGAUGGAAAAAGCACCAUGCAUUCCGUAUACAUAAUAUAUAUAUAACUAUUCGUCUGUCUAUCUAUAUACAUGCACGCGCGAGAUGUGAGCGACGCAUUCCGAGGUGCUCACGUCGCGAUCGCGGUAGUGCUGCUGCUCCUGAAGGAGAGACAGAAUGGCUAUAUGUAUGUACGUACGUACGUACAUACAUGUAUAUAUCUACAUAGUGGAUACCUCUACCUAUCUACCUGCCUACCUACCUAGCUACCCCGUUAAAAGUAACCGGGUAACCUGACCCAACCCGACCCGAACCAAACCAAAGCGAACAACUUUAACGGCUCACGUGAGCCUUACCUGGAAACGUGUGAGGAAAUCGUAUGAUCUUGGGAUUCUGAGGUUAUGAUGACGACACCGAGUAUCUCACAGUUUAGAUAAGAUGCAUAUACGUGCCGGAGAAUAAAAUAAAGAGCGAAAGGAAAAGAAUCUAUUUUUUUUUCUCAGGUUCUGAAUGUCGAUUAGAUCAGUCCGAAAUGAAGUGUUUCCAAAUUUAGAUUUUCAUAAUCACAGAGAUACCUUUAGGAGCUUAGCUCGUGCUGCAAAAAGGAAGAAUGGCUGUAUGGAUCAAAAGGAAUUUGGCGCAUUCAUUGAUACGUCGAUACGUGUAGAAUGAUUUAUUCAAAACUAAACUUUUUCACCGCGCAUAUAAAGAUCUGAUGGUGCUGGUGGUGGUGGUGGUUAAAUAGGGUAAUUGACGUAAAUUAACUAGUUGAUCAUAGACAGACCUUUAACUUUGUGCUCAUUGUUACUACACCAUGGCAAUAGCUCAAGGCCCGCCAUACACUGUUAUUUGAUUGGUCGAUUUUAAAAAGUUACGUUAGCAUAAGUUAGGGUAGACAUAGAGAACACGUACACCUAGCUGGUAAAUGUCUGACUCGACAAAAGCAAAAAAAAAAAAAAAACAAGAUAAGAAUAAAAGAGUACAUGAACAGUAUGUACAAUGGAAACAAUAAUUAAAAUUGCGUAAUAACUAGGAUGAUGAUUAUGACAGUAUAUAUAUAUAUGUAUACAGUAUGAACACUGCAGCACAAUAAAGUUGUUUAAAAAUAAUCUUCGGUAGCGAGCAUAUACAUACAGUGAUGAUAAUAUUAAUUUCUGUUGUAGCGAAGUGGAAAAAUAAAAUCCGAUUUCAUUAAAAAUAAGAGACAUAUAGAUUCGUUAACCAGAGCCAAUU